rnacentral:misc_RNA from 1 species
AAGUCGUAACAAGGUUUCCGUAGGUGAACCUGCGGAAGGAUCAUUAUUGAAUAAGCUUGGUUGGGCUGUUGCUGGCUCUUCGGGGCAUGUGCACGCCUGACGGGCCAACCUUUCUUUACCACCUGUGCACUUUUUGUAGACUUGUGGAAUAACCCUCGAGGAAACUCGGUUUUGAGGAUCGCUGUGCGCAAGCCAAGCUUUCCUUAGAUUUUUCCGGUCUAUGUUUUUAAUAUACCCCAUUGCAUGUUAUUUCUAAUAUUUAAUGGGCAUAAAGUGCCUUUAAACCUUAUACAACUUUCAACAACGGAUCUCUUGGCUCUC